rnacentral:tRNA from 1 species
GGGAGCGUAGCUCAAUUGGCAGAGCAAGUGACUCUUAAUCACUAGGUUCAGGGUUCGAUUCCCUGCGCUCUCA